GGGGAUGCGUGGUUUCGACAGGGCAGGAGAGCGAUCCGUUGCGAGUCGGGGGUGCUGUUCACCCCGUGAACCGAGCAGCAGUCGGAUAACUGCCGACAACUCUUACGCCCUCGCUGCCUAAGCAGUGAGCGUCCCGCCGGUCCCCCCUCCGCGGACCGGUGAGGACGAGAGAGCGGAGGUGCGGCCCACCGAUCGGCCGGUGGGUGGGCCUAAGACAACCGGCCUGGCGGGAUCGAGAGCGCGUCGGUGCGCGCUCGGGACCGCGAGAUACAAACCGCCGACGAGGCUUCGUGGACGCGGAUCGUUCGAUGGCUCUGGACGGGGAGUUCGACCCUCCCCCAUCUCCACAG
rnacentral:tmRNA from 1 species